AGUUUUGAUCCUGGCUCAGAUUGAACGCUGGCGGCAUGCUUUACACAUGCAAGUCGAACGGCAGCACGAGUGCUUUGCACUUGGUGGCGAGUGGCGAACGGGUGAGUAAUACAUCGGAACGUGUCUUUAAGUGGGGGAUAACGCAUCGAAAGAUGUGCUAAUACCGCAUAAUCUCUAAGGAGAAAAGUAGGGGAUCGAAAGACCUUACGCUUUNGGAGCUGGCGAUGUCUGAUUAGCUAGUUGGUAGGGUAAAGGCUUACCAAGGCAACGAUCAGUAGUUGGUCUGAGAGGAUGGCCAACCACACUGG
rnacentral:rRNA from 1 species